rnacentral:rRNA from 1 species
UACGGAGGUUGCGAGCGUUGUCCGGAAUCACUGGGCGUAAAGGGCGCGUAGGCGGCGCGGUAAGCGUGCGGUGAAAGUCCGGGGCUCAACCCCGGAUCGGCCGUGCGGACUGCCGCGCUCGAGCACUGUAGGGGCGGGUGGAACUCCGGGUGUAGCGGUGGAAUGCGUAGAGAUCCGGAAGAACACCGGUGGCGAAGGCGGCCCGCUGGGCAGUGGCUGACGCUGAGGCGCGACAGCGUGGGGAGCAAACAGG